rnacentral:pre_miRNA from 1 species
AAUAGAUGACGCCGUUGACUUUUUUCUCACAUGUUUGACCAUUCCUCUUAUUCAAAAAAAAUUUAUAUAAUUAUGAUUUAUUUUGUUAUGAGUUGUUUUAUCACUCAUAGUACUUUAAGUGUGAUUUAUAUAUUAUACAUUUGCAUAAAAAUUUUGAAUAAGACGAAUGGUUAAACAUGUGAGAAAAAGUCAACGGCGUUAUCUAUU